UCAGAUUAAGGUGUGUCUUUCCGUUUCCAGCAAGGAGAUGAAGGAGAAAAUUGCCAUUGUGUGAGUGUGUAAGGAAGCCACAUCCUAAACAAACGAUAGCCUGAAUCCCCACACCUCUCUCACUGACACCUUAAGGGUCAGAUCCCUGGCUAUUCCUCAAGUUUUGUUUUCUUUGGACAGAAAUCGCUUGCUACAAAAAGAGGAAACUGCAGCACGGGCUAAUGUUCAGAACACCACAAUAAUCCUGGGUAAGACUUCACUUUUACCCUCAGAACAGCCCAAAUUCUUCAUGACCUGGAAUCUGGUGUUGGACACAUUCCAUUAAGGUUCUGGGCUGUGACUCUCCUGUUCUGCUACAUCCUAAAGGUUGGGAUCAUCUAUAGGAUUCAGAUCGGCGACUGCAGAGGCCGUUGAAGUAUUGUGAACACGGUCAUGUUCAUGGAACCAGUUUGAGACAACUUUCUGACAUGACACAUUAUCAUGCGAGGACUCAAAGUCCCUCUCACACCAGAAUCUGGACUUCCCAGGCAGUCUCCUGUCCCAGUACUAACCAACUCUUUAAGGUGUAUGGGUGCAGCGCCAAUCUCCAUUUUGAUAGCCCUCGGCUAUCGAAAUGUAACCCUAUAGCUAGGGUUACAGAGGGGGGCUAGUCCUCUGGUAACCGCGAGGGUUUGACUCCCCACUCGCAUCUGUAUUGCAGCGUGCCUUGCCAGAUGAUAGUAGGUACCAUUUUUAUAAUGGUCUUUGGUAUGACCUGACCGCGAGUAGAACUCAUGAUCUCCCGGUCAAGAGGCGGACACGCUAACCACUAGGCCAACUUGCGGUCUCGUGCGAGGAGUAAUCAUUAUCUAAUGAGUAAAUUGUGGCCAUAAAUGGAUGCAUGUGAUCAGCAGUAAUAUUCAGGCUGACAGGAGUAGAACUUGAUGCCGUCUUCUGCCUCCAAUUCUCCUGAUCCACCAUGACCCUGAUCAGGAUAGAGUGGUUAGUGAGGAUGAAUGAAUGAAUGAAUGAAUGAAUGAUCAUAGCAUCUUUUUGAUACUGGGCAUUAUGAUAUUGUGAUAGUUAAAUUAAUCACCUUCAGAGAUGUUUGCUUAUAGUCACAGUCUGCCACUUUCUUUCUCCACUAUUUGAAUAAAAAAUAGUAUGUCUCUCUGUUUUUAACACCA